GAUAACCGGGAGCACCCGCCCGGCGGAGCGGGCCCGCAGGACGCUGUUCGCCGUCCUGCGGCCUCGGGAACAUCCUGUGGGAAGGAAACUGCUGGUGGAGUGUACUGAUGAUGAGCCUCAUGCUGGUUUUCAUGGAAAGCCUUGUAGGUGAUAUCUACGGCUCUAGGUUUGUGAGGUAUCCUUUCAGAAUGCUCAGGUAAUGGUGCCAGGACGAGGUCCAGAUCCCAGCACCUCUUAGCAAGUUUCUGUCAUGAACUGUGCAUAUGUGGGGAUGGACCCAACCUCCAUUUCUGGAGGACUGUAGGGCAAGGAGAGGAUGAAAUAACAUAUUCAGAAUAGAGAUAAAAUAUACGAGUCACAAAUAUCCUAACCUGCAGGAUUGUCCUACGGAGAGGAGAGAGUAAUAAUGUUCUUCCCAGACAAACAAAAGCUGAAGAAGUGGUCCACUAACACUAGAUCUUCCCUGAAAGAAAUGUUAAAAAUAAUCUCCUGUAUAAUUUAAAGAGAAGAAAAUGCAAAAAAAAAGAAGAAAGAAAGAAAGAAAAAAGAAAAAGCUGAGCAGGGAAAUAGAACCAGAAAACUAAAGUCAAAGUGGCAGUAGAAGAUCCUCUAUUGAACUCACCCAUCCAAAGGCAGAGAGAGGCCAACCUUGGUUCAGGAAUCAAAACCCAAGUUUAUGCAGUCCCCGGGAGACCCUUCUGAGCCCCGAAGAUAAACAGGCUCCCGGCUCAAGGCUGAAUAUUACACCAAACCACGGAACAGACUCAGGGAUGUCAGAGUCUGGGCCACGGUGUAUUGUGCCGCACCGUGAUGUGCAAAGAGAAAUCUUCUAUGUGGAGCCAAGACCCUUCAUUUUUCUCAUAAUGUAUUUUGAAUAGCAGCUGCUUUUUAAUGUUUGCAAUAGGAUCCAUUUCAGGAUCUGCAGAUAUUUUAGGGUCUGGCUGCAGUGGACGCUGUCAGUGAAAGGCUGAGAGUCCCGGAGCCUGCCACAGACACACCCGUGCCUCCUGCCCCAGCCCGCCUGCCACAGCCCACUGUGACCUGCUCAUUAGCUGGAGUUAUGUUGGGAGAAGGCCUUGGGUUGCACUAAAGGUUUCAGGGAGUGACUGAUGGACUUUCUCUGGCCAGGGGCCUGACUGUGCACCCCAGAUGACCAGGUGAGCUCCUGGAAGUCUCCUGCUUCUCUACCCCCUGCUUGCUUUAAGGUGCGAAUCUGCCCCUGCCAGGGAGAUGGGUGCUCUGUAGUCCGAUGGCUCAGGGCUCGGACUUUGGAAAAAAGAUCACCUCUGGGCCUGCGGGAUAAAUAAAGAUGAAAUUCUUCUAUAACCUCUUACAAUCUAAAAAUCAAAAGUUAGAAGGUCCUAACUCUACAUGCAAAUAAAGUGAGGUGUAUUAAGAAUUGUAUUUAACAAGGCCUCCUCUGGUGGCACAGGCCGUUGAGUGCAGCGCUGUGAAGCUGUCCACAGCCUCUGCAACACCGGUUCGAUCCCUGCCAGCCGGAGAGGGUCCUGCAUGGCACGGCAGACCUCUCCUGUCACGCCCACUGCUCCCCUCAGCAGUGUAUUUCAGUAGAUCUGCCUGUUCUGUUCCCCACUCUGUCUCUGGUGAAUCCGCUCAUCCCCUGCAUCUCUGGCCUGUACCCCAGUUCUUGUGUGCAUAAACAAAUCUUUUUAAAAAGGAUUAUGCAUACAAGAAUUGGGGUGUAAGCCAAAGAUGGGGGUGUGAGAGGAUUCAUCAAAGACAGAGUGGGGGACAGAACAGGCAGACUGACUGAAACAUUGCUGAGGGGAGCAGCGGGGAGACAGGAGAGGUCUGCUGCACCAUGUGGGUCAGCUCCCUAGACAGGGAUCGAGCACAAGCUGCAGUUGCUGGUGAUAGCUUAUAGUGCAGCGUCUUAACCCCUUGCGCCCCCAGGGUGCCCCUCUGUUCUCUUAUUUUCCUUUUUAUAAAGGCAAUGAACUAGUCACAAGGAGGAGCUUUCAGUUAUGUAAAAUUUUGUUUUAUGAAAUAUCCUGGCCCCAUUCAUUAUUUUGUCCUGCUCCUCUCGUAGGUGUAGACAACUUUCUUGUAUUUGGAAGCUGGAAGGGCUCAGAUAUUGUCUUGUUUUCACUGAUUUAUUUUUAAUUAAAGCUAUAUACAGCUGUGCAUUCAACAGAAUAAAUUUCUAAAUUUAUAAAUGAAGAAAAAGGGCAAAGGAUGUUUAUUUUGGUUGAAAAGCUAGCCAGAGCACAGGUUCAGGGUAGAAACCCAAACACUCUCACUAAAAAAAAAAAAAAUGAGGUGACCUUGACAUUAACUCCCAGCGCUGCUGCUCUGCCCUCACCUAUGUGACUAGCAGGAGGCCAUGUUUCAUCCUCAAAUGUUUUUCUGUAACCACAUGGAAUUCUUAAGACUUUUUAAAAAUUACUUUUCCCCUGCCAAGGAGCAAGGAGGUCAUUUUACCAAUGGAGUUUUCAUCAGCUUCUAUUACUGGUCCUGAUAAUGAUAGGGAGUUGUGUAUGUUAUAGAAGAGUAGAAUAAAUUAGGAUGAACAAUAUUAAAAAGUACUCUUGUGACUUAGCAUGUUUCCUUCCUAGUUUUUCCCCCAUAUUUGCAAUUGUGAAAUAGAAUGCCUGUGUAGAAGGUAGGUAGUAUUUGAGACUUAGAAAAUGAGCUUCCUUUAAAUAGGUCAAGAAAUAUAAAGUCACAUCAUAUCAUGAUCUUCGCCCAUAAGGAAGCCCCUAUAUGGCUGUCACUAAUUUUUUUCUUUGCUCUUCACUACAUAUCCUAGGUAUGUAUCCACUGCAUGUACCAUUAAAAUGUGAUUUUAAUUUUGUCUGGAAUUUAAUAUUUAAAUUAAAUCAUGUUCUGUUUCUGUCUUGAAUGUCACUCAACAGUAUGAUGGCAAAGCUAGUCCACAUUUUGGAUGUAGCUUGAGGCUUUUAUUUGCACUGCUGUAUAAUAUUCCACUUGGUGCACAGUUGUUGUUUACAUUGUGUUUUACUCACACAUAAGGGUUAAGGAGAGUAUGCUUACAUCAUCGCUAAAAAUUUAUAUUCUUCAUCAUUUAACACUGCACUGUAAGUACUCUCCACAGCAUUAAAAAAUAUUCAGCGUUACUCUAUCUGUCCAGUCUUUACAUUUAAUUUUGUAUAUAUUGGGG